rnacentral:tRNA from 1 species
GUCGAUUUAAAAAAUCGUGAGGGUUCAAGUCCCUCUAUCCCCAAAAAGGC